rnacentral:rRNA from 1 species
AGGGUUUGAUCAUGGCUCAGAACGUACGCUGGCGGCACGCCUAACACAUGCAAGUCGAACGAAGUAGCAAUACUUAGUGGCAGACGGGUGAGUAACAUGUGGGUAUCUGCCCUUUGGCCUGGAAUAACACGAGGAAACUUGUGCUAAUACCGGAUAAGUCUUUACGGAGAAAGCUUUAUGCACCAUUGGAUGAGCCCGCACUUGAUUAGUUUGUUGGUGGGGUAAUGGCCUACCAAGACUGUGAUCAAUAGCUGAUUUGAGAGGAUGAUCAGCCACAUUGGGACUGAGACACGGCCCAAACUCCUACGGGAGGCAGCAGUGGGGAAUCUUGCACAAUGGAGGAAACUCUGAUGCAGCGAUGCCGCGUGAGUGAAGAAGGCCCUUGGGUUGUAAAGCUCUUUCGUCGGGGAAGAAAAUGACUGUACCCGAAUAAGAAGGUCCGGCUAACUUCGUGCCAGCAGCCGCGGUAAUACGAAGGGACCUAGCGUAGUUCGGAAUUACUGGGCUUAAAGAGUUCGUAGGUGGUUGAAAAAGUUGGUGGUGAAAUCCCAGAGCUUAACUCUGGAACUGCCAUCAAAACUUUUCAGCUAGAGUAUGAUAGAGGAAAGCAGAAUUUCUAGUGUAGAGGUGAAAUUCGUAGAUAUUAGAAAGAAUACCAAUUGCGAAGGCAGCUUUCUGGAUCAUUACUGACACUGAGGAACGAAAGCAUGGGUAGCGAAGAGGAUUAGAUACCCUCGUAGUCCAUGCCGUAAACGAUGUGUGUUAGACGUUGGAAAUUUAUUUUCAGUGUCGCAGCGAAAGCGAUAAACACACCGCCUGGGGAGUACGACCGCAAGGUUAAAACUCAAAUGAAUUGACGGGGACCCGCACAAGUAGUGGAGCAUGUGGUUUAAUUCGAAGAUACGCGCAGAACCUUACCAACACUUGACAUGUUCGUCGCGACUCUAAGAGAUUAGAGUUUUCGGUUCGGCCGGACGAAACACAGGUGCUGCAUGGCUGUCGUCAGCUCGUGUCGUGAGAUGUUGGGUUAAGUCCCGCAACGAGCGCAACCCUCACUUUUAGUUGCCAUCAUUAAGUUGGGCACUCUGAAAGAACUGCCAGUGAUAAGCUGGAGGAAGGUGGGGAUGACGUCAAGUCCUCAUGGCCCUUACGUGUUGGGCUACACACGUGCUACAAUGGUAUCUACAACAGGAAGCAAGACUGCGAAGUUAAGCAAAUCCCUAAAAGAUACCUCAGUUCGGAUUGCACUCUGCAACUCGAGUGCAUGAAGCUGGAAUUACUAGUAAUCGUGGAUCAGCGUGCCACGGUGAAUGCGUUCCCGGGUCUUGUACACACCGCCCGUCACACCAUGGGAGUUGGUUCUACCUUAAGGCAAGGUUUCAAACCCUUGACCACGGUAUAGUCAGCGACUGGGGUGAAGUCGUAACAAGGUAGCCGUA